GCUGACCUUUUCAUGAGUAAGGGGGGAAGUCCUCCUGCCUGACUACCUUUGAACUGGGACAUGUGCCUUUUUUUUCUGCCUUCAGACUCAAACUAAACGUCAGCUUUUCCCGGCUCUCAAGCCUGCUGGUCCCUGAACUAAAACUCACAUUAUCAACUCUACUGGUUCUUAGGCCUUUGGAGUCAGACUGGAACUACAGCAUUGACUCUUCCGGAACUCCAGCUUACUGACUACAGAUCUUGGAACUUUUCAGCUUCCACAACCAUCUUCUUUGGACCUUUUAAGUUGCAUUAUCCCAUAAAAUGUGGUGGAUUCAAUGUUGUAUGGCCUGUAAAACUAAGUAAUGAAGGCUGAUAUGUACCCACCUGGCUCUGUCUUGGGAUCACACAACUUGGGAGCCAAAACAGGUGAGGAUGGGGAGGUGUCAAACAAGACCUAACCUCUCAACAAUCAGCUGGACACUGUUGUGUAAGAAUGUGAAGCUUGGCACUGCUGCAGCCAUCUUGUUCCAGGAAGGGUAAAACCUGAGGUUAGAAGCCAACAUCCUAAUGAUGGCAGAGAAGACAAAGAGAACCAGAGUCUAAAUGACAUUGUUGAGUUAGAUCACUACACUACCUCUAGUCUUCUUUUUAUGUGUGAUAAUAAAUCUCACUUAUACUUAAGCCAUUUGAAGUUGAGUCUAAUGUUCAUUUCAGACCAAAGCAGCUUAACUGACAUGUUCUCCGCUUUGUUACCCUAUCCAGUUGUUUUCAUGCAGGAAAUAAAUCUCAAAUUACCUC
rnacentral:lncRNA from 1 species